GGAAUCGCUAGUAAUCGUAGAUCAGCAUGCUACGGUGAAUACGUUCCCGGGUCUUGUACACACCGCCCGUCACACCACGAGAGUUUGUAACACCCGAAGCCGGUGGAGUAACCAUUUUGGAGCUAGCCGUCGAAGGUGGGACAAAUGAUUGGGGUGAAGUCGUAACAAGGUAGCCGUAUCGGAAGGUGCGGCUGGAUCACCUCCUUUCUAAGGA
rnacentral:rRNA from 1 species